rnacentral:rRNA from 1 species
GACGUAGGGCGCGAGCGUUGUCCGGAUUUAUUGGGCGUAAAGAGCUCGUAGGCGGUUUGUCGCGUCGAACGUGAAAACUCGGGGCUCAACUCCGAGCUUGCAUUCGAUACGGGCAGGCUAGAGUUCGGUAGGGGAGACUGGAAUUCCUGGUGUAGCGGUGAAAUGCGCAGAUAUCAGGAGGAACACCGGUGGCGAAGGCGGGACUCUGGGCCGAUACUGACGCUGAGGAGCGAAAGCGUGGGGAGCGAACAGG